CGAAACUUAGAGGUCGCUGGU
rnacentral:siRNA from 1 species